CAAUAGCGUAUAUUUAAGUUGCUGCAGUUAAAAAGCUCGUAGUUGGAUUUCGGGUGGGAAUGGCCGGUCCGCCGUUUCGGUGUGCACUUGCUACGCCCACCUUGCUGCCGGGGACGUGCUCUUGAGUUCACGCUCGGGACACGGAGUCGGCGAGGUUACUUUGAGUAAAUUAGAGUGUUCAAAGCAGGCCUACGCUCUGAAUACAUUAGCAUGGAAUAACACGAUAGGACUCUGGCCUAUCUUGUUGGUCUGUAGGACCGGAGUAAUGAUUAAGAGGUACAGUCGGGGGCAUUCGUAUUUCAUUGUCAGAGGUGAAAUUCUUGGAUUUAUGAAAGACGAACUACUGCGAAAGCAUUUGCCAAGGAUGUUUUCAUUAA
rnacentral:rRNA from 1 species